rnacentral:rRNA from 1 species
UACGUAGGUGGCAAGCGUUAUCCGGAAUUAUUGGGCGUAAAGAGCGCGCAGGUGGUUGAUUAAGUCUGAUGUGAAAGCCCACGGCUUAACCGUGGAGGGUCAUUGGAAACUGGUCGACUUGAGUGCAGAAGAGGGAAGUGGAAUUCCAUGUGUAUCGGUGAAAUGCGUAGAGAUAUGGAGGAACACCAGUGGCGAAGGCGGCUUCCUGGUCUGUAACUGACACUGAGGCACGAAAGCGUGGGGAGCAAACAGGAUUAGAUA